AUUGUUUACUAUUAUUAUUCAAUAUUGAGAACAAAACGUCUUGGCGGAUGAAUUAUCAACGAAGUAACAACUUGUCUAUGUAAGAUCUCACGUGUGUCUUAAUCAAUUCAUUUUUUAGUAUACAUUACAUGUAUAUACACGCUGUAGAUCCUAAUCGUUGUAGUGAAAUGCAAUGUGCCUUUUAACCACAAAACAAUAUUGAUUGAUUUAAUGACGUUUGCAUUAGUCCAAUGGCAAAUAUAUUUACUAUACAAAGAGAGAUAAGCAGGUCGUUCUUGAAUAUUUGUUCAAAAAUUCCUUUUUAGGUUGCAGACUUCUCCGUAGGCUUCCAUGCAAAACAGCUCAUCUUUGAAAAUAAAAAUAAUAAAAUGCUACAUAGAAAAAAAUGUUCAUGUUCAUAUCAUGUAAGUACUAAUGUGAAAUUGUGAUUUAAUCGAAGAAAAAAGUUAAUCAUGCCCCGAAGAAUAAAAAGUUACGUAAACCUGAAGUCAAAACAUUUUUUUUCUACUUUCUGUUUGCUGUUUUUACUAGGCCGCACCACUUCCUGUAAACAUGAUAUCCUUCCACUUUCCUGGAUUGAUAUCCCCAAAAAGAUGCAAGAUUUUUUUUUGAAAUCUAUAUAUCUGUUUCAAUAAUUAAUUCAGCAUAAACCUAAAAUCAAACAGAAAAAAAUUAGUCCAGAAAAAACAUGCAUCGGAAACUUGAGUUGUAAUACAAG
rnacentral:lncRNA from 1 species